AGGACCGAAGCUUAUUGCUUGAGUGGGUGCCAACAUUAGCAGUAGCUGGCGUGUUGAUCUACAUAGCAGCAUUUUCAAUUGGGUUGGGAUCAGUUCCUUGGGUGAUGAUGUCUGAGGUAUUUCCUAUAAAUGUGAAGGGAAUUGCUGGAAGUUUGGUGGUUUUGGUAGCAUGGCU